GAGCAGAUACACGGCUUUGUAUUCCGUGCGCCC
rnacentral:scRNA from 1 species